rnacentral:rRNA from 1 species
AACGCGAAGAACCUUACCAGGUCUUGACAUCCCAAUGACCACUCUAGAGAUAGAGUUUUCCCUUCGGGGACAUUGGUGACAGGUGGUGCAUGGUUGUCGUCAGCUCGUGUCGUGAGAUGUUGGGUUAAGUCCCGCAACGAGCGCAACCCUUAAUCUUAGUUGCCAUCAUUUAGUUGGGCACUCUAAGGUGACUGCCGGUGACAAACCGGAGGAAGGUGGGGAUGACGUCAAAUCAUCAUGCCCCUUAUGACCUGGGCUACACACGUGCUACAAUGGACGGUACAAAGAGUCGCUAACUCGCGAGAGCACGCUAAUCUCAUAAAACCGUUCUCAGUUCGGAUUGUAGGCUGCAACUCGCCUACAUGAAGCCGGAAUCGCUAGUAAUCGCGGAUCAGCAUGCCGCGGUGAAUACGUUCCCGGGCCUUGUACACACCGUGUCGA